UAGCUCAUUAAAGAUCUUAUUCUAACCUAGGUUAGGUCUUAGGGCGAAUAACUAUGUAAGGUGUCGACACAAUGAUAAAUGACUAAACACAAUAGCAAAAAAUCUUCUGCCCGAAAUGGCGGGAAUAUUUAUCCCAGACUGCGAGAAUGAAGUCUGUGUGGAGGGGAGGAGGAGACUUGUGGAAGCUUCUAGAACACUGGGUCACGUGGUCGCACCUAAUCAAAUUGGAGGACUGUUUGCAAACACAUAUAGACAGCAAUUUGAUUCCUGCCGAUGUGUCGUACUGCAUAAAUGUCCCAAAUUCUAUAAUAAGCUAAAGCGUCACAGUUUAGACCAGUACAUGCUAAAUGAUGCCAACAAACUGUACUGUGUCCACUACGGAAACACAGCAGAAGGUGGUGCCCCUGAGUUCGAGGAGUUUUUCGAUAACCUCACCAUCUGCCCGGCAACCAAUGACAACAACAUCGCUGAGUUUUUAAACAAUUUUCUCUUCAAUAGUGCGCACACAAGGAAUGUCGA